rnacentral:misc_RNA from 1 species
UCCGUAGGUGAACCUGCGGAGGGAUCAUUACCGAGUUUACAACUCCCAAACCCCUGUGAACAUACCAAUUGUUGCCUCGGCGGAUCAGCCCGCUCCCGGUAAAACGGGACGGCCCACCAGAGGACCCCUAAACUCUGUUUCUAUAUGUAACUUCUGAGUAAAACCAUAAAUAAAUCAAAACUUUCAACAACGGAUCUCUUGGUUCCGGCAUCGAUGAAGAACGCAGCAAAAUGCGAUAAGUAAUGUGAAUUGCAGAAUUCAGUGAAUCAUCGAACCUUUGAACGCACAUUGCGCCCGCCAGUAUUCUGGCGGGCAUGCCUGUUCGAGCGUCAUUUCAACCCUCAAGCCCCCGGGUUUGGUGUUGGGGAUCGGCGAGCCCUUGCGGCAAGCCGGCCCCGAAAUCUAGUGGCGGUCUCGCUGCAGCUUCCAUUGCGUAGUAGUAAAACCCUCGCAACUGGUACGCGGCGCGGCCAAGCCGUUAAACCCCCAACUUCUGAAUGUUGACCUCGGAUCAGGUAGGAAUACCCGCUGAACUAAGCAUAUCAAUAAGCGGAGAA